rnacentral:rRNA from 1 species
GGCCGAUGGCGACCGGCGCACGGUCUGAGUAACACGUAUCCAACCUGCCGUCUACUCUUGGACAGCCUUCUGAAAGGAAGAUUAAUACAAGAUGGCAUCAUGAGUCCGCAUGUUCACAUGAUUAAAGGUAUUCCGGUAGACGAUGGGGAUGCGUUCCAUUACAUAAUAGGCGGGGUAACGGCCCACCUAUUCUUCCAUGGAUAGGGGUUCUGAGAGGAAGGUCCCCCACGUUGGAACUGAGACACGGUCCAAACUCAUACGGGAGGCAGCAGUGAGGAAUAUUGGUCAAUGGGCGAGAGCCUGAACCAGCCAAGUAGCGUGAAGGAUGACUGCCCUAUGGGUUGUAAACUUCUUUUAUAAAGGAAUAAAGUCGGGUAUGGAUACCCGUUUGCAUGUACUUUAUGAAUAAGGAUCGGCUAACUCCGUGCCAGCAGCCGCGGUAAUACGGAGGAUCCGAGCGUUAUCCGGAUUUAUUGGGUUUAAAGGGAGCGUAGAUGGAUGUUUAAGU